rnacentral:rRNA from 1 species
AAUAAAUUAAAUGAAAUAAAUUUAAAAUAAGAAAUUAAAUGUUAAAUCAUUAAAUUUAUAAGAUUUGGCGGUAUUUUAUAAAAUUAGAGGAAUCUGUAUAAUAAUUGAUAAUCCACGAUAAGAAAAACUUAUUAAAGAUUUAUGUAUUGCUGUUUUAAAAAUUUUAUUAAGUAAAAUUUUAAUUUUAAUAUAUUAUUUUAAUUCAAGUCAAAAUAUAGUAUUAAUAAGAUUUUAUGGAUUACAAUAUUUUUAAAAUAAUGGAUAAUUUAAUUUAAUUUAAAUUUGAAAUUGGAUUUAAUAGUAAAAUUAAAUAAAUUUAUUAAUUUGAAUAAUAUUUUAUAUAAAAUGUGU